rnacentral:lncRNA from 1 species
UGAUGAUGAUGAUGAGGCUACCGGUUCUGAAGCCGGUACUGAUGAGGGUUAUGAGUCCUUGGAGGGCUAAGUUUAUUCUAUUUUUCAUAUUUUGUUUUAUUUCUAUUGUAUUUUCAAAUUUGUGUAUUUUGAUGUUGGUUAUGUACUUUUGGGGUGUUUUGUCCCCCAUGAACAAUUUUAAUUUUUGAAGUAAUGUAUUAUUUAUGUUUUAAAUUUCGUUUGUUUUAAUAAAUUUUUGGUUGGUUGAGUGUCAAACCUUCUAGAUUGGUUGCUCCUCAAAGAAGUAUCCAAUGAAGGUGCAUCCGAGCUUGGAUGACAAUGAUAAAAAUAAACAAGUGAAUAAUGCCAAGGUACAUGGUUACCUCCGGCUAGAAUUUUAGAAUGCAUUAAGAACUUUACUCUUUUUUGUAAUUAAAUAUUGUCUUUUUGCAACAUAAUUGAAUGAAUGUUUCAUCUAGGACUUAAAACCACAAAUUGUGAGAAAA